GGCUUGUGAUGCUGAUCCUGAGCAAGAGCAUCAGCAGGGACGGAAUAAAUAUAAUUCCUUUGGUUUCAACUGUGCUAUGCAAGGCUCAGUCUCUAGAUCAUCAGUGCCACAUAUAUGGUAAUUCACUACAGGGCUUCCAAGAGGAGAAAUAAAGAUAAUUAAGCCAUAGAACCAUUUAGGCUGCAAGGAAUCUUGGAUGAUCAUCUGGACCAGAUUCUUCUUCAAAGAAGGAACAUUUCUGAAGUUAUAUCAGGCUGUUAAUUCGCAUGCACUCCUCACAUCCUGGUGCAGCUUAAAGGAAUAAGAAUUUGGCAGACUGGACUUGGAGAUCUGAAAUUUGCCUCUUCUAUUUCCUACUGAAAUAAAAAUAUUUUGCUACAA